CAGUGCCGCGGGAAUACGGAGGAUCCAAGCGUUAUCCGGAAUCAUUGGGUUUAAAGGGUCCGUAGGCGGUCUUGUAAGUCAGUGGUGAAAGCCCAUCGCUCAACGGUGGAACGGCCAUUGAUACUGCAGGACUUGAAUUAUUGGGAAGUAACUAGAAUAUGUAGUGUAGCGGUGAAAUGCUUAGAGAUUACAUGGAAUACCAAUUGCGAAGGCAGGUUACUACCAAUUGAUUGACGCUGAUGGACGAAAGCGUGGGUAGCGAACAGGAUUAGAUACCCGCGUAGUCCCUGUCUCUUAUACA
rnacentral:rRNA from 1 species